rnacentral:rRNA from 1 species
GAUGAACGCUAGCUACAGGCUUAACACAUGCAAGUCGAGGGGCAGCAUGGUCUUAGCUUGCUAAGGCCGAUGGCGACCGGCGCACGGGUGAGUAACACGUAUCCAACCUGCCGUCUACUCUUGGACAGCCUUCUGAAAGGAAGAUUAAUACAAGAUGGCAUCAUGAGUCCGCAUGUUCACAUGAUUAAAGGUAUUCCGGUAGACGAUGGGGAUGCGUUCCAUUAGAUAGUAGGCGGGGUAACGGCCCACCUAGUCUUCGAUGGAUAGGGGUUCUGAGAGGAAGGUCCACCACAUUGGAACUGAGACACGGUCCAAACUCCUACGGGAGGCAGCAGUGAGGAAUAUUGGUCAAUGGGCGCAGGCCUGAACCAGCCAAGUAGCGUGAAGGAUGACUGCCCUAUGGGUUGUAAACUUCUUUUAUAAAGGAAUAAAGUCGGGUAUGUAUACCCGUUUGCAUGUACUUUAUGAAUAAGGAUCGGCUAACUCCGUG